GCUUCUUGGGUGGUGGUGGUGACUUGUAAACUGGAGUUGGUGGUGAUGGUGAUUUGUAGACUGAGUGUGUAGAGAGUAGUAUGACUCCUUAGGUGGUGGUGGUGAAUUGUAAAUGGGAGUUGGUGGUGGCAGAGACUUAUAAACUGGUGCGGGAUUGAUAUAGCUCCUUGGGUGUGGAGGCGAUAUGUAGACUAGGGUUGGUGGAGGUGGUGACUUGUUGACUGGGUGUGUGGAGGGUAGUAAGGCUCCUUAGUAGUGGUGGCGACUUGUAAACUGUAGUCGGUAGAGGCGGUGACUUGUAGAUUGGGGUAUGAGGAGGGUAGUAUGGCUCCUUAAGUGGUUGUGGUGACUUGUAAACUGGAGUCGGCGAAGGUGGCGACUUAUAGACUGGGUGUUUGGAGGGUAGUAAGGCUCUUUGGGUGGGGGUGGCAACGUAUAAACUUGAGUUAGUGGAAGUGGUGAUUUGUAGACUGGGUGUGUGGGGGAUAGUAUGGCUCCUUAGGUAGUAGUGGUGAUUGGUAAAUAGGAGCCGGUGGAAAUGGCGACUUAUAGACUGGGUGUGUGGAGGGUAGUAAGGCUCUUUUGGUGGGGGUGACGACUUGUAAACUGGAGUUGAUGGAGGUGGCAAUUUGUAGACUGGGGUGUGUGGAGGAUAGUAUGGCUCCUUGGGUGGUGAUGGUGGUGACUAGUAAAGCGGAGUUGAAGGUGAUGGUGAUUUAUAAAGUGGUGCAGGAUGAUAAGGUGUUGGUGAAGGAUGGUAUGGCUCUUUUGGUGAUGGUGGAGAUAAAUAUUGAUAAUUUGCUGAGCUUUGGGAAGCCAAGCAAAGUGACACAAAAACCACUAAAAGAGUGGAAAAUAGAGAGGCCAUUUCUCCCAAAAAGAAACAAAGGAGAGAAGUUGUUGUCCCUUUAAGCUGCACUCAAAGCCCUUUGUAUAGCUUUCAUUUAGAAGGUAUAAGGCUAAAGUUAUGUAUUUUUAAUUAGUUUUGUCAUGUUGUCGGUUCAAUUUGACCUUUGUUGGUAUACUUUUUUUUUUUUGUUGGAUAGAAGGUGCAAGCUAAGCAAAGAAAUUAACUACUAUGGCAGCUAUACUAUUUAUGAUGCAAUAAUUCAAAAAAAAAUACGUGGAUCCCACAACUUCCCACAAGAUUUUAGUUAUAGGAAUCUGAGCACUUUUUUUUUACACUUAGGGUGUGUAUGGUACGAUGGAAAAUAUUUUCUGAAAAAUGUUGGUUGUAGUAAAAAAUAUUUUCUAAGAUAAUUCAUUUUUUCCUAUUUGAGGGAAAAUGACUUCCCUCAUGGACCAAGGGAAGUUAUUUUUCGGAAAAUGAUAAAUGUGACUUAUGCCCCCAUCCUCACCCCUCUUCCCACCCCAACAACACUCAUAUUCACAUAACUCAAAAAAUUCACAUUUUUAAAAAAUUUAUUUUACUCAAAAUAUUUUUCACUGUGCUUUGCUUCAAUUUUUCACUGCUUGAAAUAAAAAAUAGUGAAGCCCGACUUUUUUUCAUUUCCAAUGUUCGUUGAAUGUAUUGUUAUUUUCAUAUGCAUAGAGGAAGACUUACCUAUGUUACUUUUGCUAAUUGCAUAUUUUAUUUUGUCAUCGAUGUUACUUCUUUCACGAGGUUGAAUAAGCUUAUCGUCCCGUUAUAUUUCUAUUGAUUGUAGUAUCUUGAGAUUGUCCUGAAAAAAUGUUGAAAAGUGUCUCCUAUAUUUGCUAAUUAAUAGUUGCUUAAAUUUAGUGAUUGUAAUAUUUUAGUAUUCGAUAUUGAUAUUAUUUAUUAUGCUUAAAUUAGUUCUUACAAAUUGUUGAGUUGCUAGAUGCACUGAUAUACUAGUUAACAGUUAGUAGUAUUUUCUAAAAAAAAAAAUUUCACUCACCAAUCAAACACUAGAAAAUAUUUUUCUAAAAAAUAUUUUCUACUCACCAACCAAACACCAUAAAAUAUUUUUCGAAAAUAUUUUUCACUCACCAACCAAACAUGAGAAAAUAAAUAGAAAACCAACUUAUUUUCCAAGAAAACAUUUUUCAUGAAAAAUAUUUUCCAUCGUACCAAACACACCCUUAGUAUUUGAAGAAUUCAAUUCUUGUGGAUUCUGACAGCUUAACUAACCUUCACUUAAGUGCUGAGAAAUUUAAAACAAUAUGUAUACAGUAUCAUAUAUUCUUUAAAAGAAAUGAUAUGUCAUUGUUAAAAGAGUUUAAUCUAGAGAAAACUGUGCAUGUGACUCGCUUUCAUUACCAACUAAAUCAAUUAUGUUCUUUCCUUUUGUGUAGUAGAGCUAAAAGAAACAUCAACCGAUUAUUUUGUAGCUCAAUGUUGAAAACUUAUGUGGUUCAAUAUGAUAUCUCUGAAAAUUUUACAGCUUGUUUGAUAGCUGCUGCCUAAUAAUGUAUUGUAUCGUGUUGCUAGUUUAAAUAUAAUGUGUAUUUUGAUUGUUUCUUAAAUUUUACUGUAUCAUUAAAUCUAUAACUAGAUAGCAAUAAAAAGUCUCAUUUGGUGUAACGACCUAUUUGAUGUGAUCGCGUUGUUACCUUUUUUCCCCUUUUUAUUUAUUAUUUAAUUAUCUUAAUGCUCCUUUAUCCUAUAUUUUUAUAGUAACUCUACCUCACAUUUUUCUAUUUUCCUUCUAGGCUUAUCCUUGAACUGUUAUAUGAAGGAUGCAAUGUAAUGACGAAAAAGGUAUAAUAAAUCCAAAUAUCGUAACAUUCACUAAAAUAAUAAAGUACAUACAAUACAACAUGAUACUUUAUGAAACAAUAUCAUUCCAAGUUAAGGACUUGAUUAGAAUGUGCAUGUUAAGUGUCUGAUGGGUUACUUAAGUAUAAAGUUCAAGUCCAUAUAAAAAGAUAAACCCUAAUUAUAAUGCCUUCAUCAUGGCUGGUCGACAGUAGUCUACUACUGAAUUUCCUCCUUUGAACCCAAAUUCUAUUGUGAAUAUCCAAACCCUACCGUUGGAUAAAUCUUUUGUUGAAUCAAUCAGUACAACAAAGUUGGACACCGUCUCUCGCAAAGAGGUGGUCAUGGUGGAAGGAAUCCCGAAUGUCACACUGAAAAAAGUGGAUACAGUGAAUAAAAUGGAGAAUUUGCAAUUUGUUGUCAUAGGUAAAUUCACUUAAGAAUGGACGGGUAUAGAAGAAUUAAGGAAUAUUAUCCCACAGCAAUGCAACAUUAAUGGUGAUUGUCAAAUUGGAGUAUUCAGAAAUAAACAUAUUUUCAUUCGUUAGACACAGGAGUCGGAUUUUAUUAAUAUCAUCAUCUCAAAGGGAGCUUUUUCCUUGCACUGUAAGGAUGGGUUCUCUUAUUUGAUGCGAACACUCUCACACUUAUCUAUGAUCCCCUUUUCAAAGAAACUUUAGAGACUACAAAGACUUUCGCAUGGAUUUCUUUCCCAAAUCUAUUGCCUACCUAUUAUGUCAAGGAAUGUUUGUUUUCUUUAGCUGCAACAGUGGGAAAGCCUGUCCAACUUGAUCUAGCCACCAUUAAUAGGACUAGACCAAGUUGUGCAAGGAUUAAGGUCUUGGUUGAUCUAAAAGCUGAUUUCUCUAAAUCAGUCCGGAUGGAUAUUGAAAAUGAAGAGUCAGGUAAAUGCAGGACAAUAGUGAAGCGGAUUAAAUUCGACCAUAUUCCUAAGUAUUGUCAUGAAUGCAAUAUGCAAGUUCAUGCUAAGAAUCAAUGUAGAAACUUAGGCACCCCAGAGGAUGCAACAAUGGCAGUAACAGUGGAUAAUAAGGAAUAAAAGAGGCCAGUACAACAUCUUCCUAAAUUCACAAUGCCUUUUGUACACAAAUUUCAAAACGGAAAAGCAUGAGUUCUUUCGAGUGGGAUUGUAGUUGGAGAUCCUACUAACUGGAUGGUUAUUAAAAAUGAUAAGAGGAUAGUUAAUACUUCCCAACAGCCUCUUUUAAUGAUAUAGUUAAUACUUCCCAACAGCCUCUUUCAAUGACAAAUAACCAAUUUGCUGCUCUAGCUACCGACGACAAAGAACCUGCUGAAUUAAACAUUUCGACAAAGGAGAGUUCAAACCUUAAGGCAUGUACGGAUGUGUUCCAAAUAAUAAGGAAAAUGAAAAAGUUAAUCUGUGGUCCAAUAAAGAAUCUGCUAAAGAGUGGGUAUCAAGGGAUUUUGGCAAGCUAGGUGAAGUUCCCAAUUCUGUAAUACCUGUACAGCAACAAGGCAGUCAGCAACUAAGUAAUCAACAACAAAGGCAAGAUAGAGAUAAUAAUGCUAAAGAGAAUAAUAAAGAUGGUAAUGGGAUGGAGAAUGAUAUGCAGGUUAAAUCUUUAAUAAAUCAGGAGCAUAAUAUUGAUGAUGGUCAGCAACAAUGCCUCAUAGUCAAAAAGGACAAUCUGCAAUCUAUAGAAGAUGUGCAACCAGAUACCAAGCAAUAGUCAAUGCAGAUUAAUCAAGAUUUUUACAGUGGAAGCUAUGAUAAUGGAGAUAGGUCAGUUGAGGAAAGUGUGGGGAUAACAGUUGUGAUGCAAGGGGAACAAAAUGUGUGUUUAGAAAUAAUGGAGAUUCCAAAACCAGUGCAGAUAGAUGAAUCAUUUAUCGUUACCAAGAGUUCUCCCAACAAAGUAAUACAUGACAUUGUCUCUCAUAGUUUAGGGUACAUUAAAUGCAGUAAUCAAACUCACAUGGCCAAAGGAGUUAAAGAAGUAGAUGUAGAAGAUGAUUCGAAGGAUCAUGCUCCAUCGGAAGCUGAUUUAUCACCAAGACUGAUGAAAAUCUCUAAAAAAGGAUAAAAAAGAAUGUGGAUGGGAGAAAACUCACAACCUACCAGAGUUCAUCCUAAGCGAUCCAAAUCUGCCCUAAAUUAUCAAUGAAAGCACUUAUUUGGAACAUUAGGUCUGUGAAGACACAACAAGAUUUCAAAGACUUCAGAUGCUUAAUAAUUAUCAUAAGUUCACCGGUUUCAGUUUGUUAGAGCCUUUUCAGAAUGUUAGAUAUAAGAGAAGAUUGAAAAUGCAUAGGGCUAUGUCAAACUGCAAUAGCAAGAUUUGGUUUUUCUCCUCUCAAGAUGUGAUAACAACUGUUAUUAAAGACACUGAUCAUCAGCUACAGUUCACUUGCAGGAGUAGGCUCAGAGCUUAGAUUUAUUACUCUUGUUUAUGCAAAGUGUUCUAAAGAGGAGAGAUUAAUCUUAUGGAAGGAUAUUUAUCAAGUUGCUUCUGGAAUUUCAAAACCUUGGAUGCUAGGAGGAGAUUUAAUGUUGUUUUGAAUUCUGAAGAGAAAAUUGGUGGCCUUCCAAUUCUUGAUGCAGGCCAUGGGGACUUUCAAUCAUGUAUUUCUUAUUGUGAUUUGAUGGAGAUACCUUUUAAAGAAAGUUCUUUCACUUGGUGGAAUGGUAGAGCAGGUAAUGACUGUAUUUUAGAAAGAUUGGAUAGAAUUUUUACUAAUCAACAACAACAACAACAACAACAACAACAACAACAAACCCAGUGUAUUCCCACCUAGUGGGGUCUGGGGGGGUAAGAUGUACGCAGUCCAUACCUCUACCUCUGCUGAAUUUUUACUAAUCAAGAUUUACAAAAUAAGUUCAAUCACAUGAAGGUAGAACAUCUUGCUACUAGUUCAGAUCAUGCUCCCAUGUUGUUGUAUUGUUAUGACAGAGCUAUCAGUUACAAGAAAUCUUUUAGAUUUCUUAAGUUUUGGACUGAUCAUCCUAAGUUCCUAGAAGUAGUAAGGCAGAAUUGGUGUUCUUCAGGUUCUCAGAGUCCAUUCUUAGAUUUCAAAGCAAAGAUUAAGAGAAUUAAAGUUGCUUUGACAAGAUGGAGUAAAGAGACUUCUGGGGAUAUUUUUAAAUAGUUGAUAAUCAGGGAAGAAAUUGUCAAGAUCAAAGAGAAAUUAUUUGAGGAAUGCCCUACGGCUGAUAACAGCGAAGUGUUGCAAAGAGCUCAGUCCGAGCACAAAAUAUAUCUUCGUUUUGAAGAGAUUUUUUGGCAGCAAAAAGCAGGUUAUGACUGGUUUGAGAAUGGUGACAGAAAUAUUAAAUUUUUUCAUAGCACUGUGAAGGGGAGGAGGAAAAGAUUGAAUUUGAAUAGAAUUCAAAUUAAUCAGGGUAUUUGGCUGGAUAAAGAAGAAAAGAUAGCCGCAGAGGUUGUUAUGUUUUAUCAGGACCAAUUUAGACAAGAACAAGAGGCUAAUGUUUUUUCAUAACUGAAUAAUAUACCUAAGAGUAUUUCUGAUGAGCAAAAUAUUGUUUUAAGUCAGUAAGCUGAUCUUGAAGAAGUUAAAAAGGCACUUUUUAGCUUAAAUGAAUAUAGUGCAAGUGGCCCGGAUGGGUUAACAAGUAGGUUCUAUCAGGUUCGCUGGGAUAUUAUUGGUAAUGAUGUUCUUAAUCUGGUGCAAGAUUUCUUAAAAGGUAAUACUCUUCCCAAAUUCAUUAUUCAUACUAAUUUGGUGUUGCUUCCCAAGAAGGAUUUUAUUCAAUUUUUCUCAGAUUUGAGACCAAUUAGUCUUAAGUAAUUUUAUUAAUAAGAUCAUUUCUAGGAUUGUGCAUGACAAAAGUGAACUUCUUUUGCCUAGACUGAUUUCUUUUAAUCAAUCUAAAUUUGUCAAAGAGAGAAGAAUUAUUAAAAAUUUCCUCCUGACUCAAGAGAUAGUUACUGACAUCAGAAAAAUGGGUAAGCCGGCUAAUGUGGUCUUAAAGCUUGAUAUGACUAAGGCUUAUGAUAGGGUUUCCUGGUUUUUCCUGAUGAAGGUUCUAAGAAAAAUAGGGUUCUCAAAAUUGUUUAUGGACUUGUUUUGGAGAUUAUUGUCUAAUAAUUGGUAUUCUAUACUAAUUAAUGGGCGAUCACACGGCUUUUUUCACUCAACUAGGGGAGUAAAACAAAGAAAUCCUUUAUCUCCAGCUUUCUAUUUGAUGAUGCUCAAUAUGUAGGUUAUGAUAUGCCAAAGUGGAGUUCCAAUAUUAAUCAUCUUGCUUAUGCAGAUGACACUAUUAUAUUCGCUGCAGCUAACAGAUACUCUUUGAGAAAGAUUUUUUCAGUGUUACGGGAAUAUGAAACUCAAUCAGGGCAAAAAGUUAAUAAAGAGAAGAAUGCUUUCUACAUGCAUCAGAAUUCAGCUGCAGUUGAUAAACAAAUGGUGGAAGAUUGUGCGGCUAUUUCUAAAGGCCAAUUUCCUUUGAAAUACCUUGAAUGUCCUAUCACUCAUGCUAGAAAAAGAAAGAGUCAUUAUUCAGAGCUAAUUCAGAAGGUUAAGUCAAAAUUACAGGCUUGAAAAGGUAAUAUUCUCUCAUAUGGGGGGAAAGGAGGUCCUUAUCUCUAGUGUUCUUCAAAGUGUUCCUAUACAUAUCCUUUCUGUUGUUGUCCCUCCUAUUUGUGUAUUGAAGGAGCUUCACAGAAUAUUUGCAAAUUUUUUUGGAGUAAUAAGGCCGAUGGAAGAAACAAACACUGGGCUGCUUGGGUAAAGGUGUUUUUACCAAAACAGAAGGCAGUUUGAGUUUUAGAUCGAUGUUUGAGGUAUCUCAAGCCAUGUAUCCUAAGUUCUGGUGGAAGUUCAGAACUCAAAAUACUACUUGGUCCAACUUUAUAUGAGACAAGUAUUGCAAAAAGCAAAUACCUUCACUAGUUUAAUGGAAAGGUGGCUCGCAAGUAAGGAAGCAUAUGUUGCAAAAUAGGGAUCUAGUGGAGCAAUUCUUGUGGUGGAACCUAAAGGAGGUACUUCUACAGUUUGGUAUGAUAAUUGGACUCAACUUGGUCCUCUUUUCAAACACCAGGUAGAGGUCAUUCUUCUUUUCCAGUGAUGGAUAUUGAGGAAUUCAUGUUGGGCUCAGACUGGGAUUUUGAGAAUAUGCAAUAUCAUUUAUCAGAUAAUGUAGUAGAGCAUGUAAGAUUACAUUUGAGGCUUGUACGACAUCCUGGAGAAGGUGACAAGCCCUGGUGGAUUAAAUUUAGUUCUGGCAAGUUCUCGGUUAAAAGUGCUUGGGAAGAACGGAGGAAAAAAACGUUUGUAAUGAGUCAUUUCAGAAGAUCUGGGUAAAAGAGAUUCCUUUCAAAAUUUCUUACUUUGGUUGGAGAGUUUGGACAAAUAGGAUUCCUGUAGCCUCUGUUUUAGCUAAUUGGAAUCCUAACUUGUCUCCUCUUUAUUCAUAUUGUGUUUCAAGAAAUCAUGGAGCACCUCUUUCUAAAAGGUGAAGUGGUUUAUUUCGGUUUGGAUUUAUUACGCCAAUGCUGCAGGUAUUCUGGGGCCCUGGGUUCAAAUUAAACUAUCCAUAAAGAAGUGGUGGGAUAUAAAUGGUAAUUAAAGACAAAGAUUCAUCUUUCAGGUAGUUCCUACUCUCAUUUUGUGGUUUUUACGGAAAAGAAGGAAUGCAUUAGUUCAUGGAGGUUCAUACUCUACAGCCAAGGUUAUUUGGGAUAUUAAUGGUUUAAUUAAGAAAAUUCUCAGAAAGAAGUUUGGUUAUGAUCAGUUACCAUCUAGUUGGCCUCAAAUAGUUGCUUUUUGACUUAUUUAGACCUACAUUUUUAUCUAGAUGGAUAAGAUGGUAUCCCCCACCUAGGGGAUAGUGGAAAUAUAACACUGAUGGAACCUCGAGAGGUAAUCUAGGUCGAAUUUCAGCUGAUUUUUGUGUACGAAAUCAUGUAGGUGAUCUUGUGUAUGCUAAGGGUUUCUCUAUUCCAGAUUCCACUAAUCUGGUUGUUAAAGUCAUUGCUAUAGGAGUUGGUUUACAUUAUUGCUUAGAAAAUCAAAUUGUCAACAUUAUUGUGGAAUCUGAUUCCCUUGUAGUAGUCAACAUGAUUAAUGGAGUGUGGGAAAUUCCUUAGAGUGUGAUAAUGGAGGUCAACUCCAUUAAAGAUAUGAUGGAUUCUUGUUCAGCAAGAGUACAACACUCCUUAGGAAAGGGAAAUACUCUUGCUGAUUAUUUAGCUAACUUGGUUUUUCAUUUUGCAGGUAACUUUGAAUUCAACAGUUUUCAUGAAAUUCCAAGCGCAGGUAGGAAGAUUAUCAAUCUAGACAAACAAGGCAUUCCACAAAUGAGGAUAAGACAGUGUACAUCAACUAAUUCAACAAGGGAUGGAUCGCUACUGCAGAUUACAAAGUGAAUUUACAAACUCUAUUAGCAGUGACUAGUUACUGGUGAAUUUAGUGCAGUCUGAAUUAGUUUCGUUUGGUUAACAUACCAUGCACCUGUGGGAAUUUUUAGGUGUUACAUAGAGUAUAAACCCAGGACUCACUUAUACUAGUUGCUAAUUUCUAGGUAUAGAGUUUAUAAAAAUCAAGCACAAAUUUAGAGGCAUUUCAUAGUCUCAAAUCUGUUGAUGAGGAGAGGAUGGAGUACCCGGGACCUCAAAUUUAGCGGCGGAAGAUAGACAGGGUAUAAUUAUCAAGCAAUACAAUUCUUUUAUACAGAUUCCACUUCAGAGAAGAACAAAAAUAAUCAUUGCCAACUUAUGGAUUGCAAAGUGUCAAAAUACAAAUUUCAGCAUUUGGAGUAACACAAGAAGGCAAGGAGCAAGAUAAGUAUUAAUGGACAGUAGUGGUGAUUAACAUUCACUAAUACUGAUUGAUUUCUAAGUCAUACAAUUGAAAUGGGGGUUAAGGUGAACCUGUUAGUUCUGGAUCCUUGGUGGUGGUAUCAAUCUCCUUGAGGUUUAUUCCGCUAGGAAAAAGAGAGAACAGUGAAAUCAUUUUUUUCAUUUCACAGAUGAGUUUAGAAUAGAAAAAGGGAGGUGACUUACCAUAUCAUCUGCAAUAAAUAUUUAUUGAUUUGGAGCUGUAGAAAUUUAGUUGAAACCAAUUUCAUGAAGUUUGUAAGAGAUUAAAGUGUCUUAGUGAAAUUUGAUGGAUGUUCCAUGGCAAUAAUGGCUUCCACAACUUAAUGCAACAACCAGAUGAGGUUGGAGUAGCAAAGAUUGAAACCAUAGUUGCCUCUCCGUGAUGUCUUUCAGCUUUGAGUUUUAUCCACACAUUCCUUUUCCUGCUUACAUUUUCUGUUUUUGGUCUUUUCAGAUGUCUGGAUAUAUUUGUUGCUUUUGUUUUGGACCCGGGUCUUGCUUAACUUGGGCCAAUUUGUACAUAUCUUUUCUGCUCCUGAAUAAAUUGGGCUCUGGUCCAUCUUCAAUUAAAAAAAAGGAAAAAUGACAUGGACUGACCAGUUUAAAAAAAGGAAAUUUUGCAUAUAUACCGACAUGUUUACUCUUAAUUACCAAAAAUUUCAACAUUUUUCAAAAUCUCCAAAAAUUCCAACAUUUGACCUCUGAUAAUACAAGUUAAUCACAUUAGAUACAUACUGUUGAUAUAUGUAUCUAAUGUGAUUAACUUGUAUCAUACAUUAGAUAUAUGUAGGGUUACAUUAGAUACAUGUAGGGUUACAUUAAAUACAUGUAGGGUUAACUUGUAUCUCAAAAAUAGUCCCAAAUAUGAAAUGUUGGAAUUUAUGUAAUUUUUCAGAAGUAGGGGGAUUUUUAGAAAUUUUGAAAGUUAUGAUGUUUAUUUAUGUAAUUUUUUGUUAAAAAGAAAAAAAAUAGCCCACACUAUGAAAAUAUGGACAAUUGGAGCCAGUAGACCCAAUUUAUUUCCUGUUUUUUCAGUCAUUUGGCCCAAAACUAUUCUCCUUACACAAUUAAGGGGAUUAAAUACUCUUCACAGUAGGCUACUCUUAAAUCACUUUUCUUUUCAAACUAUACUUUCCCAAAAAAAUGUUCACCUCUAUUAUGUGUCGAUCAAUCUACUGUGUUUUGUGAUAACAAUUGAGUUAGUAGGGCACAUGCAGUCUCUAUACCCAAUUGAUACACUUUUGUACCAUAUUGAUACAUGUUUAUACCCAAUUGAUACUCUUUAUACUACAUUGAUACACUUUUAUACUCAAUUGAUACUCUUUUAUACUAGAUUGAUACACUUUUAUACCACGUCGAUACAGUAUGUAUAUUACAUAAAUACAUCUUUUACAGAGGAAAUUUGUGCAAGCAUAUACAGUAACAAUACCAAAUUAAUACAGUAAAUCAAAAUUAGUAAGUACGAACAUAAUUGAUACUCUUUAAAAUUAUAGUAUUAAUAGUACAUAAAGUAACAAAAAAAAAGAUCAAAUCAUCUUUCCAUCAAUUAUUGUUUUGAUUUAGUUCAUUCUUUCUCCUUAACGCUCUUUUAUAUUUCUAACUUCCUCUUCCUACCUUUAUUUUCUCUUCUUUUUUUCUUUCCUUCAUUACUAAGUUAGUUGUAAACACCCAUAUGAUGAAGUAUGUAUUUACUCUUGAGUUGAUGUCAUAUUUAUCCUACUAAGAAAAAUCACAGGUUCUGUAAGGAAUUGUCUAGACAUGGAGUACAUAUAAAAAUUUAUUCUGCCACUUGAAAAAAACCUGUAAAAAACUAAUUAAAUUCAGAUUUUUUGAGAUUUUAUACAAAAUUUAUGAAAUGAGAAAGGUAAAUUGGAGUAUCGAAAAAAGGUAAAGGAACAAAUAUUUAGGAGUUUGAAUGGAAAGGAAACUGGGAAUGAAAAGAAAAGAAAGAAAGGGAAAGUUACUUCAAGGAUGUUUUUGAUUUUGUUUAAGCGUAUGACAGUGAAGGUUAGUUAGUGGAAUUACUCUGUGUCUAUUUAUGAUGUAUUUAAUUUUGACUGCUAUUUUUUUAUAUUAUUUUAGUUUUAGGUGUUAUUUCUGUCAUUUGCCCAAAAAAAAAAACUUACUAUUUUACUACAAUUCUUGUUGGUAAGAAUACAUUAUUUCUUUUUUUUUUUUAGGGCAAACAACAUAAAUUUCGAGAAUUUGGAGCUUAAUUACAGAAAAUUCUGAUAUUUUGCAUAAUUGUUGAAAAUCUCAAUUUUGGAUCUGUUGAGAUACAUUAUUAGCUUCUGAUACAAUCAAAAAGAUACAUUUUUAACUUUGUAUAGAUAUAUAAUUAGCUUCCGCUACAUAUUUUUUAAAUUUUGCGUUUGUUGAGAUAUAUAAUACAUCCAAUGAAGAUAUAUUUUUUUCUUUGUAAAGAUAUAUAAUUAGCUCCCAGUGCAGUUUUUUUAUUUUUGGGUCUGUCGAGAUACAUAAUAAGCUUUCGAUACAUCCAACGAAGAUAUAUAAUUAAUUGAGCUUUUUGUAGUUAUUUUGUAAGAGUGAAAAUUUUGUAUAAAUAUAAUAAGUUAAGAUGUAUAUUUAUACUAUUUUUCCAUAAUUUGCUUGCGAACCAAAUCGACCACUAAAGAAUUGAAAAGUUAAACAAUUUGUUCCCAAUACAGAACAAACUUUAGCCUAAAAUUUAAUGCUAAAAAUUACUACAAUGAGCUGAGUGGCUGAAAUGGUGCCACUUAAGAAUAAUUUGGUGGAUGAAAUGAAUGAAUUGUUUUGGAGUACAAAUUUUGAUUUAGACAAUCUAUUGAAAUUUAUUAUAGUACUGUUUAUAUUUAGGGGCCAUUUUUCAGGAUCUAUGAAAAAUUUAUAAUGUUGAGUAGAACAUACUAUAAAAGUAAUGUUGGAUAGAGCAUAUCACACAUUAGCACAAUCCUAAUCAAUAAUGAUAGCUAUUCAUCUCUAGUUCACUUUUAUAGUUAAUCAAAGAAUUAUUAACAACGAAAAUUAAUUUUCUUGUUUUGGUUUUCUAUCAUUGAAUCAGCAAUAGUUUGAUAUAAGAACUAUUCAGAACAGACUAAAUUAAAGAGAAAGAUGGAAUACCGUCAAUGAAAAUAAUAGGAUAUGAUAUCUUCAAAGAUAAAGAAGGCAGUGAACUUUUUACACAUAUAAUACGUAUAAUUAUUAAAGAAUAUAAAAGAAAUUAAAAAAAGGACAUACAGUACAUAUAUAAACUGGAAAAGAAGAUCAAUAAUGUAAAAGUUUGAUGUUAACACUGUUCCUUAAUUAAAAUUUCCAUAAUGAUUAUACUCGCUAUUUUCUUUCAUUUGCACAAAUCAAUAUGCUCCUUUCCCCCCUUUUUUUCUCCUGAUCACUCCUUAAAGAACGAGACAUAUAGCAUACAUAGAGAAGAGAGUACUUUGUCUCCCUCAAUAAAUACCUUGAGAAAAAAAUGUAACUCAUUAGUAGUUUCUUGAUUUUGUAAAAUUUUCUUUAUUUAAAAAAGAGUAACAUUGGAAGAAGGUCAUUAGUAUCUUUUUUAUUAUCUAAAACAACAUUUAUUAUCUUUUUUAUUAUCUAAAACAACAUUUAUUAGGAGCAAAAUAAAAAAGCUAAACAACCACUUAUUAGAAACAGAGGGAGUACUAAUUAUCUGAUAGUGUUUUCAGUGUUACGCAUCAUGAACUAAAAGCUUAAUUUAAGAAGCAUUGACUGCUUAAUGAAAUCUUUUAAUUCACAAUGAUAAUAAGGAAAUCCAAUUUGUGUUGUAUCAUUCUAGCCUUUCCAUUUUUUAUGGAGACAAAGCAUUAAUAGACAAAUGGAGAUUGGACAUAUCAAGAUUUCAGUCUCAUCCUGUCAAAUCAUUAAUUGUAAAACCUUCAUGUAUUUCUAUGUUCAGCCUAAGAUAUUAAGGGGUUAAUAUUCUUUCAAAACAUGGAGAGUUUCUGAUAUUGGGAGACAUGGUUGUUUGUCGAAUAUAUUUAUUUCUCAAUAAUUGAAAUAUAUAAUUGUAUUUGAUGUGAAGAAAGUAUUAGUUAAAAUGCAGUUUGGUUCAUUUUGGCUAGGGAUUCCAUCCUUUCCAUGUAUAAAAGUUUUUGAAUGUAAGGAUGAGAAAUCAAGGUAUCUGCUACACUUUUUUUAUAUAUACGUGUAGCGCAUGUAUCGAGAAAUUAGUAAAAGAAAAAAAAAAUUCCUCAGCUAAUUCUCAAUCAACACCAACUCCAUCUUAGGAAAGUGUGGUUGGUUCUGUUCUUCCUCGAAUUCAAUGAAUUUUUGUCAUAUUGUCAUACAUAUAACGAAUAAUAUAUAUAUNNNNNNNNNNNNNNNNNNNNNNNNNNNNNNNNNNNNNNNNNNNNNNNNNNNNNNNNNNNNNNNNNNNNNNNNNNNNNNNNNNNNNNNNNNNNNNNNNNNNNNNNNNNNNNNNNNNNNNNNNNNNNNNNNNNNNNNNNNNNNNNNNNNNNNNNNNNNNNNNNNNNNNNNNNNNNNNNNNUAUGCCUCUUUUCCUCUUUAAAUUUUAAAGUAAUAAUUAAGAAGAAAAAAGAAGAAGAUACUAUUCAAUAAUUUAAUUCUGAUACCAUCAACAUGGAAGACUCCAUUUGCUUCAUCUAACAAUGGACUUUGGCAUUAUAUAAUUAACAAAACAAUUAAUUAUUAGGAUAACUUAAUCACCGACAAAGGUUUCUUACUAUUAUCCUUAUGAGAUUCCACUAGUUAAGCUAAAUAUUUUUAAUCGACGUAAGAGUUAUGAAUGUAUAAACAAGUAGAUCUUAGCUACAUUGACCUAGUCAAUCAUUAUUAUUACCGACAUAUUUAUGCUAUACAAAUAUUUGUCCUAAUGCUAUCUUUUAUUUAUUUUUUUAAUGGAAAAGGGUCAAAAAGAUUCCUGAAUUAUUCGAAGUGGAGCAAAAAUAUCCCUCAUUAGUUUUUUGUCUCAAAAGUAUCCCUCUCUAAUGAAAUAACACCAAGCAUGUCAUGUAGACAAAAUACGUCACUUGAACAGUUCACGUCAGAUCGACCAUCUUUAUUAAAGGUGAAUGCUCCAUUAAAUGAGAGAUUUUCCAUGUGGAUAUUGGCGCCUAGCGUGGACUGUUCAAGUGGCGCUUUUUGUCCACGGACAUACUUAGUAUCAUUCUGUUAGAGAGAUGAAUAGUUUUGAGCCAAAAAUUUAAUGGAGGAAUAGUUGUAAGCAAAAAAAUUAACGAAAGAUAUUUUUACUUUAUUUCAAAUAAUUUAGGAAUAUUUUUAAUCGUUUUUUGCUUUUUUAUGAUUUCUAAGUUGCUUAUAAUUUUUUUAUUACUACAUGAUUAACAAUAUUUUUUUAUUUCCAUAAAUAACAGAGAGUAAACUAAGUUGCACCUUAAUGGUCGAAAAGUAUUCACUAUUUUUUUUAGACUUAAAGAGGUGAUUCUGAUACAUGUCUUAUGAACAAUCAUUACAAAUUUUAUUAUUUUAAAUUUUGUUUUAGAUAAGUCUAUGAUUAAGUUGUUGGUGACCAAUUUAUUCAAUUGAGUGAGGCUGGCAUGUCCAAAGAUUUUAGGACGAAGAAACGGGUUAUUAUGUUAAUUAGGUAGAUUUAUUUUAGGGAGAAAUAAGACAUAUGCUUUAAUUUGUAAAUAUUAAUAAGUAUUUUUCCAUUUAAGCAUAGCUUCUUUUAAAUUUAAAUUAGUAAUCAAACAGUGUUUAGUAGUAUUUUCUACCUUGUUGGCUUUGUCACACAUUUGAGAGAUGCUAAAAAUGUGUAUUAAAAAAAAAAUAAGAUGGAAAGAGAAGCAUACUGGCUCAAAGGUAAAGCCGCUAAAACGUGCUUUAAGGUUCAAAAAUAGUAUUUUUAUUAUAUAAUUAGUCUCUCCUAUGUUUUACAGUUUAUAGUCUAUAUGCAAUAAAUCAAAUUCUAUUAUAUAAUUUUUUAUAUAAAAAUAAAAGUUUCUUUAAAGUUAUUAAAGGAUGUCCAUUUGUUGUAAUAAAAUACAUUGAUUUUGGUUCUCAGAAUCCUAUUGGUACAUAAUAAACUUUGGCUAUUUUAAUUCAAAGUUUUAAAAUAUCAAAUACAAUUCUAUAAUCUUUAACUAAAAAUUUAAAAAUAAGAUUAUUAAACUUCCGAUGAUAUGAUUGUAUAAGAAAAUAAUAAACAUUUUAAAAUGUUAUUGUAACUUUAUAUAAUACAUGUAACAGUAUUUUUCUAGUGAUUAUAAGAAGAAUUUUAUUGAAAAAUCAAACGUAAUUGUAACUUGCGGUAUUGAAAGUAAAAUUUGAUGGCGAGGAAAAUAUGAGUCCAUUCUUAUGUCAUUAAAAUUUAUAAACCUUUUUAUUAAGAUGACUUGAAAAUGGUAUUUAACUAUAUAUAAUUUAUAAUUUUUUAAUUAUCAUAAAUAAAAUAUUUCAUUUUCGUGAUAUUUUAGUUUGGAUUGCUUUCUAUCUAUCAUUAAUGACAAAAUACAUCGUCAGACCCCUUAAAUUGACACCAUUUUUCACUUUGGCAUCUUAAGUGGACAUUGUUCACCUUUGGCAGUUCAAAUAACCAUAAAGUGUAUCAUUUUGACAUCUUUCGACAUCAAUAAAAGUGUGUGUUACACUCACUGUCAACGUGGAUAAAACGGCCAACUGAUUUAUGCCAAUUCAUUUAAAUUGCCACAUCAUUAUUUAUAUUCACAAUUAGUUUUAAAAAAAAUAAAAUCAAAACAUAUGGCAAUUAAUGACAUAAUUAUCUAACUCAUUAAUAUAUAUACAAAAUUAAAUUAAAAGAAUCAAUUAAUUACUGACACGUGACAUUUUUCAAAAUAAUUAUAAAAUUAUUUAUUUUAUUUGGACAACCCUCCACCCACCUCCCACCCCCAAACUCCAAAGUCAUCUUCUCUACCACCAUCUAUCCCCCCGAUACCCCCCACCCUAAAUCAUCUUCUCUAUUUGGCAACACCCCUCUUCCCGUCAUGUUCUCCAUCUCCCUCCCCCCCCACCACCCCCAACCCCUGCCUGAGUCAUCUUAUCCUCUCCAUUUGCCCCUUUGAAAAGAUGAACACUCAAUCAAAGAUUAUAGUAUAUAUGUAUAUCAAAGACCUUGAUUAGUCAUAGCUUGACCUCAAAAAUUAGAAGGCAUUAAAUGACUGUUUUUUUUCUUAACAAAAAAUAAAAAAGAAAUGAUUGACCUUGAAAUAUAUUCAUCAGUAGUAUGUGUGAACCUAUUCUUUGGCAACGCAGUGGUCUUCUUACUACUUCAGUUGCAGUCAUAACAUGUUGACAAAGAUGGUGAUUGCUCAACAACAAAUCACUCGUUGUUGUUAGUGUGUUAGUGUGUUUCGUUAUUCUUGAAAAGUUCAACCUCCAUUAAUGGAAGUUAAGCUAAAGAAAGGUUGUGUGAAGAAGGCAAUGUGAGGAAAUUUUUUGUAAUUAUUUGGUCAAUAAAACAUGUGCCAUUAAUUUAUUGGAUCAAUUUUUACUGAUUUGGCAAUAGAGAUUUUCAAUAGUUUUAAAAAAAAUUUAAAGAUGAAAAAUUACAAAAAUAUCCCUAAAAAUUUAUGAAAAUACUCUUCAAACGCUCCAAAAAGUGAGCAACGUCCACUUGAAGUGCCAAAAUGAAAGAUAGCACCAAGUUGAGGACCGACAAUAUAUUCUUUCUUCAUUAAUUAGUGCAUGUACUACUCCUGUACUCCAUUGGUUUUGAUUUUUUCUUGUUCCUGCACAUUAUUUCUCCUUUUUUACUGUCUAUAUAGUACUAUUUUUUAACUUAGUAUGUUGAAAUUAAUUAUUUUUUAUUUGCAUAUGAAAAAGAAAUACUUAACUAGAUUGAUUCUUAUUCGUAUAUAAAAAGUUAAAAUAGUGAAAUUCAAGAAAAAUAUAUGAAUUUUAUAUUUGGCUUUAGAUGGCUAAUUAUAUUAAGCCGCCCUUGAAGGGACGGUGAAUUGUAAUAUUUUUUGUGGUUGACUAUGAGGCGAGCUAUAAUAUGAAAUCAAAUAAGUAACAUAGUAUAAUUAUGUGCUAAGUAAUGUGUCAUAUGAUAUUUUUCAAUUGAUUUGAAUUCAGUGUGAAUUAUAGUUAGUCCUUCCUUUUGGAUUUUUGUUAAACUGAAAUUUUCAUUUUUAUUACAUAGAGAGAGAAGUUAUAAAAAGGAUGAUUACAACGUGUUGUAACUUUUCAGGACGAAGAACAACAAGUCAUUGUUUUAUUAAAGAGGGAUUGUCCCUUGUCCAUAUCAGCUUUCAAGAAAAUAACAGAACAAAUGUUGAAUCUACUACUAUGAGAAAUUCAUCAUUUGUUUUGUUGGAGUUAGCCAAUGUCUGCUUUCUCCUUCCUAAUCCUAAAAUUAGCCAAACCAACUUUAUCCAACCUAUAAGUCCUUUAUAUUCAUCAUUAAGCUCUUGAAAUUGUUGUUGAGUACAAUGUUGAGGGUGUACUUAAUUUCUAAUCAUACAAUAGCGGUCUUUUUCACUCUUUGUAGUUGAUAUAUUGCCUCACCAAACACUAUUUUCCUCUCUUCGCUCUUUUUAAAUACACAAUAAAUGAAUUAGGAAGUUACAAUGCUUGUUAAGAAUAGCAUAGAGCUUUGGAGAAUGUUUGGACAGGAUGUACAGUUUCUUUUCCUAGAAGGCAUAUAUAGUCUUUGUGUGCUUGAUGUCUUGAAAAAGGAUAGAGAAAGACAAUCCAUACUACAUGAAAAAUAUUGAAUUGAGACAUAAUAUUUAUCAAUGGACAAGUCUGGCAUAGAGUUUAAACGGAUUUGUGAUAGAAUUAACUAAUUUAUAGUGUUGAUUUUAAUUUUUUCAAAAAUAAAUCAUAAAAUAGAUUGCCUAGCUUGACGUGUUAUGUGAUAUUAUGCAUAGAUUAAGUCCAUUGGAGGUUGUCUGAUUAGAGAAUCGGACAAUGCUUAGCAUGGGAAUUUCAUUGAAUAUGGAGCUAAGUGAGACUUUAAUCUCUCAUUUACUUGCUUUUUCAAAAGCAUUAUUUAAAACUGAGAAAUCGCUUCAAACUACUCCUCCACCCCAUUUUAGUUGGGCACAUUCUAUUUUAUACGGUGAUUAAGAAUCAUAAAUUGAAUGAUAAAUUUUACGAUCUUACCCUUUACUCAUAUUAAUGUUAUUCGUUGGGCAUAAGAAUGAACAUUGAAAUUGAAAUUGUUAACAUUUAAUAUAUACUAAAAAUUGUAGGGGAAAAAUAAAAAAAUAAUUAAUUUUAUCCUAAUUUAGUAAGUGGUCUUUUUUGGUGGGCUGAAACGCAUUAAAAAGAAAUAGCGGAGUAUUACAGUAGCACCUGGAUUAACCAGGAUCUACAAAAUUUGAGUUUGAGCUUAUGCCCUCUAAUGAAACAUUACAACACCUUGUUUGCCUAAUGAAACUAGUUCCUAGGAUGUCAGCCCAGGUAGCUUUGCAGCAUACAUUGGAGGAAUUACAAAAGAGUUUCUCUGUCCACAAACUUUCAGUCUUGCUCCUUCCUUAGCUAAUGCAUCCUUCACCAUAUUCUGCUCUUUAUAGCAGUGCUGGAUUUGUGGUCGUCCCAGACUCCUGAUUAGCAACCUGCAUCCAUUAAUUAUGGCAUUAUAGUGGAGGUUUCCCUCUUUGAGCAUAAUAAUAACCUUUUUCGAGUCUACAUUGAUGUCCACGGGAACUAAGGACAUUUCCUCCAUAAUUUUUAGUCCCUUUAGUUGAGCAAAGAGCUCCAUCUGGUUAUUAGUAAUCACAGGGAAAACUUUUUUGAAACCUGUAGUCCAAUUCCCUUCAUUGUCUCUAAUAACCCCUCCAAUACCACCCCUACCAGGAUUUCCCAAACAUGAGCCAUCAGUGUUAAGUUUAAAUCUUUCUUUAGAGGUUGGUUCCCACUUAACACUAAUGUUCAAUAAUCUAUUUGUCACGACCUGAAUCAAGGUCUGGCCGUGAUGGGCAUCCCUAGCCAACCAAGGUCGGAGAUGACCCCUAACCUUACCUCAAGAGCACAUCAGUAAAAACAAACAACAAAAUCCAACCAAGAUAAAAAGAGAAACAUAUGAUUCCAAAAGAAAGUUAAGAGUCAAAACCAACUCCAUAAUAAUAUCCCGACACUGCCUACAAAAGUCUCUAAUCCAAAAAUACCAACUAAGUCAAGACAUGUCCCCGACUAUAACAAAAGAAAUUCAAAAGUUCUGAAAUGAUAAAUGUAACUAAGAAAGAGGCCAAGUCUUUUGAUAGUUCAUAAGUUGGUUGAACUUGUGUUGAACUUAUUGUGGAUUAAAUACAAAUUUUGUACCCAGAAUAACAAUCUUAAGGAAUUUAUUAAUAAUUUUAAUUUUUGAGUUUCUAGAGAUUAAAACUUUUUGCUUUCUACGCUGUUUGAACUUUAUAGUGAUUUGAAGUUAUAAAAACUUCAUCACGGGUUAAUGUUCAUUCAGUUGAUGAUUAGAAGAACAUAAAAGCUUCAACAUUAAACUAGAAAUAAGUUGUUUAAAGUUUUUAAAACUUUAUUCUUAGUAUUUUGACUUACUAAAUUGGUUGUCUUUUUGUCACAGUAAAAAUGAUUAUUGAAAAUCAAGUUAAUGAUGGAAUGGUCAAUGUCACAACAACAAAUAUUGCUACUUAAAAUCGUUCAAAUGCUGCUCCGCCAAGGCACUGACAGAAAAAUCAGAAAGUUUUCUAGUGUGGAUUUUAAAAGAUGGCAGCAGAAGUUGUUCUUUUAUCUGACUACAUUAAAUCUACAAAGGUUCAUCACUGAAAGCAUUUCAGAGUUUUCGAAAGAAAUAUCCAAAAAUAUACUUUAUUACUACAAAAGCUUGAAAGCACUUGAAUUUUUUAUAUAAGAACUACAUACUGAGUGGCUACAACAUGGCAUGUACAAUGUGUACAGCAAUAUGAAGACCUCUAAGGAACUAUGGGUAGCUUUGGAAAAGAAGUACAACAUAGAGAAUGCAUGAAUGAAGAAAUUUAUUAUUGCAAGAUUUGUAGAUUUUAGGUGGUAGACAGUAAUACUGUAGUUACCCAAGUUCAAGAACCGCAAGUCAUCAUUCAUGAUCUCCUCACCAAAGGUAUAAAUUUGUUCUUGAUACUUACAUAGUCUCUGAUGUAGGCUUAAUUGUGAACGAGGCUUAUCAAGUAGCUGCUAUAAUCGAGAAGUUACCACAUUUGUGGAAAGACUUCAAAAACUACUUAAAGCACAAGCACAAGGAGAUGUCUUUCGAAGACCUUAUUGUGAGGUUAAGAAUCGAAGAGGACAAUAAAGCAUCAGAAAAGAGGUCUCGAUGGAAUUUACAAUAAGUAGAGAAAAUAUUGUGGAAGACGACCCCCAAUAAAUUAAAGAGAGAAAGGAAGCGUCAGGACAAUAAGGCAAUCCUCCUAAGAAGAAAUUCAAAGAAAAUUAUUUUAACUGUGACAAAGUUGGCCACAAGUCUUCAGAUUGUCAGGCUCCUAAGAAGGACAAGAAAAGAGGAUCAAGCUAACAUGGUUGAAUCCAAGAUGAUGUGGAGAUCUAUGUGCUAUGCUUUUGGAGUGCAUGUUGGUUGAAAAUCCUAGAGAGUAGUGGAUUAAUUCAGGUGCCACUAGCCACAAUGUGCCAACAAAAAAUUAUUUCCAUUAUAUUUUCUGGCUCAGGCUAAUGAGAACAUAUUCACGGUAACUCUGUUACGGUAAAGAUUGAAGGAAAAUGCAAGAUUUACUUGAAGAUGACAUUGGGCAAGGUGGUGACACUAAACAACGUCCUUUAUGUUUCAAAGUUGCGAAAGAACUUAGUUUCUACUUCACUUCUAACUAAAAAUAGAUUCAAAUAAGAAUUUGUUUCUGACAAAGCUGUAAUUAGUAAGCAAGAAGUGUAUGUAGGUAAAGGUUACUUCAUCGAGGAUUUUUUUAAGAUCAGUGUAAUAAAUGUUGAAAUCAAUAAAAAUUCUGUUUCUUCUUACUUACUUGAGUUAAAUGAAUUAUGGCAUGAACAUUUAGGACAUAUUAAUUACAAAACUUUGCAAAAACUGAUUAAUUUAAAAAUUUUGCCUAACUUUGAGUGUAAUAAAUCAAAUUGUCAAACAUGUGUGGAAUCUAAGUAUGCUAAGCAUCUAUAUAAGUCUGUUGAAAGGAAUUUCAAUCCCUUAGACUUAAUCCACACAAAUAUUUAUGCUAUGAAGUCAAUACCAUCUCAUGGUGAGAAAAAGUAUUUCAUAACUUUUAUUAAUGAUUGCGCUAGAUAUUGUUAUUUUUAUUUGCUAAAUGAUAAGAAUAAAGUAAUAGACGUAUUUUGGUAAUAUAAAACUAAAGUUGAAAACCAGUUGGAUAAAAAGAUCAAAAUAAUAAGAAGUAAUAGGAGUAGAGAGUAUGUAUCUUCUUUUGCAGGGGUAUGUUAGAAAAAAGGAAUUAUCCAUCAAACUAAUUUCCCGUAUUCACCUCAAUCAAAUGGGAUUGUGAAAAGAAAAAUUGAAUGUUAAAGAAAAUAAUAAUUGUCUUACUCAUAAGUUCAGAUAUACCGCAAAACUUGUGGGGGGAAGUUAUCCUUACAGCAAAUCGAAUACUCAAUAGAGUUCCCUAUAAGAAGACACACUCUAUCCUAUAUGAAAAUGAAAAGGAAGGAAACCCAACUUGAAAUAUUUCAAAGUGUGGGAUUGUCUAGCUAAAGUCCAAGUCUAUAUACCUAAAAGGAUAAAAAUAGGACCAAAGAUUGUGGAUUGUGUGUUCAUCGUAUAUGCUACAAGGAGUAAAGCAUUUCAAUAUUUGGUUCAUAAAUUCGAACCAUGAAAAUACGAUAAUCUGAAUCAGAUAAUAUUAAGUUCUUUGAAUACAUUUAUCCGUAUAAAAUUGGACAUGAGAUGUCUAGUGGAGGAUCUAAACAACCUCGAGAUGAACCAAAGGAGAAUGUACUUAAUAAUGAGAAUCAAGGUGUAGUACACGUCAAAUACCGUCAAUUUUCUUUGGAUAAGAUUUUGUAACAUUUCUUCUUGAAAAUGAGCCUUAAAAAUUGAAAGAAACGAUGUCGUCUUCAGACCCAUCCUUUUGGAAAGAGGCAAUCAAUGGUGAUAUAGAUUCAAUCUUGAGCAACCAUACUUAGGAAUUGAUUGAUCUUUCUCCGGUAAAUAAACCUUUAGGUUCUAAAUGGAUCUUCAAAAGGAAAAUAAAAGCUAGUGGUACUUUUGACAAUUAUAAGACAAGACUUGUUGUGAAAGAUUUUAGACAAAAAGAAGGCCUUUAUUAUUUCGAUACAUACUCGCCAAUAACAAGGAUAACGUUCAUUCAGAUGUUGGUUGCGUUGACGACAGUAUAUGAUGUUGAAAUUCAUCAAAUGGAUGUGAAUACAACGUUCUUAAAUAGAGAAUUGAAGGGAGAAAUUUACAUAAAACAACCUAAGGGUUUUGUAGUUUCUGGUAAAGAAAAGAAAUUGUGCAAACUUGUUAAAACACUUUAUGGAUUAAAACAAGCACCCAAAUAGUGGUAUAUAAAAUUUGACCAAACCAUGUUGGCAAACGAUUUCAGGAUAAACGAAUGUGAUAAAUGUGUUUACAUUAAAGACACUCCAAAUCACAAAGUCAUUAUUUGUUUGUAUGUGGAUGACAUGUUGACCAUCAGUAGAGACAUUCUAACAUAAAUGCUAUGAAAUAAAUGCCUGAGGGCAAGUUUGAUUUGAAAGACCUUAGAGUUGCUGACGUAAUCUUAGGGAUAAGAAUUUUUAGAACUCCAUAGGUAUUGGCGUUGUCACAGUCGCAUUACAUUGAAAAGGUGUUUGACAAGUUCAAGCAUUUAGAUUUCAAUAUUGUUGAGACUACAUUAGACAUGAGUUUUGCAUUUCAAAAGAAUGAAGGUGAAAGUAACUCACAGUUGGACUAUGCAAGAGUGUUGAAAAGUUUGGUGUAUAUAUCAUAAAUUGUACGUGAGAAGACAUAGAAUGCACUAUUAGUAAAUUAAGUCGGUAAAAGACUACUCCUAAUCAAACUCAUUGGAUGGAUAUGAAAAAAGUUUUAGGGUAUCUAAAACAUACCCAAGACUAUGUUUUUAUUAUAACAAAUAUCCAGCGUAGAUGAGGUGACUUUUCAAAAUAAUGUAAUUUUUCGUGAACCAUUACUUUCUUUCUGAAGCACCACAUUGUGGCUAUAAAUGCCUGAAUUUUUCCUCUGAUAAAGGUAUGAAGAUUUGAAGGGAAAAACAUUUUCUUUUUCUUCUUAAAACUCUGGUAUGAUCUUCAAACUAUUGAGUGAGUUCGUUGUUCAGAAAAUUUGAGGUACCACUAUUUUUUGAAGAGAAUCAUUUUUCGUAGGGAGGAUAUAUUCCUUUAACCUCGAGUACUUGACUAGAAUAAUUUUUUUAAGGAUACAUCGUGAAUUCAGUGGAUUUGACUCAAUCGUUUCUGUCUUCAUCCCAUUUUCUUAAAGUUGGUUUUAUUAUUUUUCCAGAAAAAUAGUUUGAACAUUAUAUUGAUAGUUCUUCAUUUGUUUGAACUUGUGUUUGAAGUUUUUGAAACUUCAUUUUGAUAGGUUAUAAGUUGUUGAACUUGUGUUGAAGUUAUUGUGGAUUAAAUACAGAUUUUGUACAAAAAAUAAUACGAAAUAGCUGUGAAACCUUGGGGAGCGACCAACUAAAAGAAUUUGCACCGAAGUCGAUCCGAAAUCACUUUCAAAGUAAUGGCUUACCACGACACAAUAUUUUCAGUUCCAUAUUAAUAUUAGAGUAAUUUUUCCAACAAGUGGCAAAGUUUGUUAUUUAACUACAAAAUUUGUUCGUCAACAAAUCCUUGUUUUUCUUUUGUUGGGUAGUAUAUUUUGGUUUUAUCUAAUCAAUCUAUUGACAAGCUAAGCGCCUACGAAAACGAUGUAGAUGUUCUACCUACGGGGGCGGGGGGGUGUCUAUUACAAUUACAAAAAUAAACUGAAUGUUGAGUUUCAGUUCCACUAACACCUUGCAAAAGUGAAUUACCCAUGAAAGAUGGGGGUAUUAUAUCAAAAAAAAAAAACAUAUCUUUUGUUGUUUUCUAAUUUCUAACGAUAUAUUUUUGAUCCAUUGCUUUCCCAUAGUAUGCUAACUUGACAGCCACUUUUUUUUGCUUUUCUAUAUACGUGGAACACUUUUUUUUUCGUCAAAAUGCGAAUCAUAAUUUAAUCCGUCAAUUUUUACUAAAUUGUAAUUGUCUUUUUUUUUUUAUAAACAGAGAUAGCAGGUAACCCAAGAAAAAAAAAUGUCUAGCAGAACAUAUUACGCAUCCUCGAAACUACUAUGACCUAUAAAACUAGAUGAUAAAAAAAUUGGUUUUAUCAUACUGGCACACUUGUAGAUGUUCCAUAAUUCAUGUAAAUUUACUUCAGAUGAAUUGUAGUUUUUGUGUUCAAAUUCAUAUAAAAACGAAAUGAUUUAAGUUUCGUUCUUUGAAUAUCGCCAUACAGAAAUAAAAUAGAACAAGGGGAGUACUUUUCUAGGUCUCUAUUUGAUAUUUUAUCAGUAACAAUUUGAAAAUAGUCAUAACUCAUACACGUAGUAGUAGGUGGAAAUGUUUCUGAUUGAAUUCGGCAUAAAAAUAUUUUUAUGGAAAAAAAGUUUCUUCUAGUUUUGGUUUAUAAGUGGAUCAAUUUUUGUGGAAAAAAAGUUUCUGCUAGUUUUGGUUUCUAAGUGGAUCAUUCCCUAGCGCUCUACUAAAUGAUUUAAUUUUAUAUAAAGAAGAUGAAAUUAUAAGAAAAAAGAGAAAAAAGAAAAAGACUAGAGAUCUAAAGAAGGGAAAACUUAAAGUAUGUGGUAAUAACUUCUUUUAUUCAUCACAUAAUCUCUGCAUUUUGCAAGGAGAUUGAAACUGAGCAAACAUACACAAAGACAUAAAAGUAAAAAUACAAAUAUAAAUAGAGUACAAACAAUAUCACUAAUAACUUAGAGAACAUGAAGCUACAAAAGAACUUCGCCUCCCGUGGGGCUUAUUGUUUACUCUUUUUUCUUCUUUUUGGCAUUGCCUCUCGAAAUGGAAAAUGCCUUUCCUUGAGCUCAACAUUCUGCUUUUCCUGCAUAAGAAUAUAAUAUUGUCAAUGAGAACAUAUAGUAACUGAUUAAUAAACCUAAUAAGUAGGAGAUAGCAUAGGCUUAUAUAUUAAUGCGUUUGCAUGAAGAAAUUGUGCAACUUGUAUUGAUUUGCAUUUAGACAAAUCAUUUUUAAGAAUUUUAGUUUGGCUUAAUUACCUUAGAUUUGAUGUUGUUGUUUCUUAGUGAUGGUAGGGAGGAGGUGGAGACUUGUAAACCGGAGUUGGUGGUGGUGGAGACUUGUAUACUGGUGCAGGAUGGUGUGGUGUUGGUGAAGGAUGGUAUGGAUUCACUGGUGGUGGUGACUUGUAAACGGGUGUUGGUGGUGGUGGAGAUUUGUAUACUGGUGCAGGGUGGUAUGACUUCACUGGUGGUGGUGGUGACUGGUAAACGGGUGUUGGUGGUGGUGGAGACUUAUAAACUGGUGCAGGAUGAUAUGGCUUCACUGGUGAUGGUGGUGACUUGUAAACGGGUGUUGGUGGUGGUGGAGACUUAUAAAUUGGUGUGGGAUGAUAUGGUGUUGGUGGAGGAUAGUAUGGCCUCUUAGGUGGUGGUGGUGACUUGUAAACUGGAGUUGGUGGUGGUGGCGACUUGUACACUGGAGUGUGUGGCGGGUAGUAUGGCUUUUUGGGUGGUGGUGGGGACUUGUAAACUGGAGUUGGGGGUGGUGGAGACUUGUAAACUGGGGUGUGUGGAGGGUAGUGUGGUGGUGACUUGUAAACUGGAGUCGGGGGUGGUGGAGACUUGUAAACUGGGGUGUGUGGAGGAUAAUGUGGCUUCUUUGGUGGUGGUGGGGACUUGUAAACUGGAGUGUGUGGAGGAUAGUGUGGCUUCUUCGGUGGUGGUGGUGACUUGUAAACAGGAGUUGGUGGUGGUGGCGACUUGUGAACUGGUGCGGGAUGAUAAGGUGUUGGUGAAGGGUGGUAUGGCUUCUUAGGUGGUGGUGGAGAUUUGUAAACAGGAUGAUGAUGGUGUGGUGGAGGGGACUUAUAUACUGGGUGGUGAUGGUUUGGUGGAGGAGACUUAUAUACUGGGUGGUGGGGUGGAGAUGGAUAGACAUGCACUGGUGGAGGAGGAGAUGAAUAAUGAUAAUUUGCAGAGCUUUCAGAAGCUAAGCUAAGUGACACUAAAACCACCAAAAGAGUGGCAACUAGAGAGGCCAUUUUCCCCAUAUU
rnacentral:lncRNA from 1 species